GGGUUGUGAGGUUAAGCGACUAAGCGUACACGGUGGAUGCCCUGGCAGUCAGAGGCGAUGAAGGACGUGCUAAUCUGCGAUAAGCGUCGGUAAGGUGAUAUGAACCGUUAUAACCGGCGAUUUCCGAAUGGGGAAACCCAGUGUGUUUCGACACACUAUCAUUAACUGAAUCCAUAGGUUAAUGAGGCGAACCGGGGGAACUGAAACAUCUAAGUACCCCGAGGAAAAGAAAUCAACCGAGAUUCCCCCAGUAGCGGCGAGCGAACGGGGAGCAGCCCAGAGCCUGAAUCAGUGUGUGUGUUAGUGGAAGCGUCUGGAAAGGCGCGCGAUACAGGGUGACAGCCCCGUACACAAAAAUGCACAUGCUGUGAGCUCGAUGAGUAGGGCGGGACACGUGGUAUCCUGUCUGAAUAUGGGGGGACCAUCCUCCAAGGCUAAAUACUCCUGACUGACCGAUAGUGAACCAGUACCGUGAGGGAAAGGCGAAAAGAACCCCGGCGAGGGGAGUGAAAAAGAACCUGAAACCGUGUACGUACAAGCAGUGGGAGCACGCUUCGGCGUGUGACUGCGUACCUUUUGUAUAAUGGGUCAGCGACUUAUAUUCUGUAGCAAGGUUAACCGAAUAGGGGAGCCGAAGGGAAACCGAGUCUUAACUGGGCGUUAAGUUGCAGGGUAUAGACCCGAAACCCGGUGAUCUAGCCAUGGGCAGGUUGAAGGUUGGGUAACACUAACUGGAGGACCGAACCGACUAAUGUUGAAAAAUUAGCGGAUGACUUGUGGCUGGGGGUGAAAGGCCAAUCAAACCGGGAGAUAGCUGGUUCUCCCCGAAAGCUAUUUAGGUAGCGCCUCGUGAAUUCAUCUCCGGGGGUAGAGCACUGUUUCGGCAAGGGGGUCAUCCCGACUUACCAACCCGAUGCAAACUGCGAAUACCGGAGAAUGUUAUCACGGGAGACACACGGCGGGUGCUAACGUCCGUCGUGAAGAGGGAAACAACCCAGACCGCCAGCUAAGGUCCCAAAGUCAUGGUUAAGUGGGAAACGAUGUGGGAAGGCCCAGACAGCCAGGAUGUUGGCUUAGAAGCAGCCAUCAUUUAAAGAAAGCGUAAUAGCUCACUGGUCGAGUCGGCCUGCGCGGAAGAUGUAACGGGGCUAAACCAUGCACCGAAGCUGCGGCAGCGACGCUGAUGCGUUGUUGGGUAGGGGAGCGUUCUGUAAGCCUGCGAAGGUGUGCUGUGAGGCAUGCUGGAGGUAUCAGAAGUGCGAAUGCUGACAUAAGUAACGAUAAAGCGGGUGAAAAGCCCGUUCGCCGGAAGACCAAGGGUUCCUGUCCAACGUUAAUCGGGGCAGGGUGAGUCGACCCCUAAGGCGAGGCCGAAAGGCGUAGUCGAUGGGAAACAGGUUAAUAUUCCUGUACUUGGUGUUACUGCGAAGGGGGGACGGAGAAGGCUAUGUUGGCCGGGCGACGGUUGUCCCGGUUUAAGCGUGUAGGCUGGUUUUCCAGGCAAAUCCGGAAAAUCAAGGCUGAGGCGUGAUGACGAGGCACUACGGUGCUGAAGCAACAAAUGCCCUGCUUCCAGGAAAAGCCUCUAAGCAUCAGGUAACAUCAAAUCGUACCCCAAACCGACACAGGUGGUCAGGUAGAGAAUACCAAGGCGCUUGAGAGAACUCGGGUGAAGGAACUAGGCAAAAUGGUGCCGUAACUUCGGGAGAAGGCACGCUGAUAUGUAGGUGAAGCGACUUGCUCGUGGAGCUGAAAUCAGUCGAAGAUACCAGCUGGCUGCAACUGUUUAUUAAAAACACAGCACUGUGCAAACACGAAAGUGGACGUAUACGGUGUGACGCCUGCCCGGUGCCGGAAGGUUAAUUGAUGGGGUCAGCGCAAGCGAAGCUCUUGAUCGAAGCCCCGGUAAACGGCGGCCGUAACUAUAACGGUCCUAAGGUAGCGAAAUUCCUUGUCGGGUAAGUUCCGACCUGCACGAAUGGCGUAAUGAUGGCCAGGCUGUCUCCACCCGAGACUCAGUGAAAUUGAACUCGCUGUGAAGAUGCAGUGUACCCGCGGCAAGACGGAAAGACCCCGUGAACCUUUACUAUAGCUUGACACUGAACAUUGAGCCUUGAUGUGUAGGAUAGGUGGGAGGCUUAGAAGUGUGGACGCCAGUCUGCAUGGAGCCGACCUUGAAAUACCACCCUUUAAUGUUUGAUGUUCUAACGUUGACCCGUAAUCCGGGUUGCGGACAGUGUCUGGUGGGUAGUUUGACUGGGGCGGUCUCCUCCUAAAGAGUAACGGAGGAGCACGAAGGUUGGCUAAUCCUGGUCGGACAUCAGGAGGUUAGUGCAAUGGCAUAAGCCAGCUUGACUGCGAGCGUGACGGCGCGAGCAGGUGCGAAAGCAGGUCAUAGUGAUCCGGUGGUUCUGAAUGGAAGGGCCAUCGCUCAACGGAUAAAAGGUACUCCGGGGAUAACAGGCUGAUACCGCCCAAGAGUUCAUAUCGACGGCGGUGUUUGGCACCUCGAUGUCGGCUCAUCACAUCCUGGGGCUGAAGUAGGUCCCAAGGGUAUGGCUGUUCGCCAUUUAAAGUGGUACGCGAGCUGGGUUUAGAACGUCGUGAGACAGUUCGGUCCCUAUCUGCCGUGGGCGCUGGAGAACUGAGGGGGGCUGCUCCUAGUACGAGAGGACCGGAGUGGACGCAUCACUGGUGUUCGGGUUGUCAUGCCAAUGGCACUGCCCGGUAGCUAAAUGCGGAAGAGAUAAGUGCUGAAAGCAUCUAAGCACGAAACUUGCCCCGAGAUGAGUUCUCCCUGACUCCUUGAGAGUCCUGAAGGAACGUUGAAGACGACGACGUUGAUAGGCCGGGUGUGUAAGCGCAGCGAUGCGUUGAGCUAACCGGUACUAAUGAACCGUGAGG
rnacentral:rRNA from 1 species